rnacentral:lncRNA from 1 species
AAAAAACUCAAAAAGACCCAAUCCAAAAAUGAACCCUCAGAAGCCUACUUGGAUAGCUGUGGCUAAUUAUCUUUGGAUUCUCAGUCCUGCCUGUAAGGCCAAACUGAUACUUUUGUAGUCAUUAUGACUUAAUGGAACUUUUUUUAUAUGGUUGCCUAGAAACCACUUUUUCAAGCCAAACGCCCUCCAAAACACACACAGCUUUCUCUUAGGGGAAGAUGCAGUUUUAAAUCUGGGCCAAAGACCUCAGGUGAAAAAGGUGACGGAUCCACAGGGAGAAAUCCAUAUUGAAUCAGAGGUUCUUGUAGAAGCAGGAGAAGGAGUAGGUUACGCAGAGCCGGUUCUCAGCUUAGAUGUGGGGUCUGAAGUUAAAGCCGCACAUACGCCUUGGCAUCCGUGUCCAGGAGAGGCGGUGAAGGAGACGUCAGCAGGGGACCUGCUCUUCCGGCUCUAGUUCCAGAAUCCUGCCAAAAUGAAGUUUCGAAGGCAAAUGGGGUUUCUGGUUUCUACAGCAACCUCUUAUGAUUCCUGAAUAGAAAGAACGUUUAAUCCUCUCCUCACCGCUGGGAUUUCCCAGACUAAAUCAACGGUCCUUCGGGACAGCAAUAAAGUCAGCAAAAGCAAUUAUCCUCAGACAAGCAGACGGGCAGACUCUUGUCACUGCUCAUCCUGCAAUUCCAUGAGAAGGAUGAAGCCGAGGAUUUGUGUCUGAACGAAACUGCCCUUCCAUAACUCCAGGGCCCUGCCUCUCACAGCACCCAACUGGGUAAAGCCAAGAGCACCAUCUUUUGUUUUUUCAGCAAAUGACAGCUGUGCAUGGGAUUUGGAGCCAAGGUCUCACAGGGAUUUAGAAGUUCAGCAGGUGCAGUACUAUCAAAAGGAAAAUUUCCUACUCAUCCCCCUGGACUCCUAGGCAGUUUACUCUGUGGCAAUGUCCACAGAGUAAAAUAAGCACCAAGCUGUUCACUAAGCUCUUACUAAUCAAGAUCUUCAUUUCGGGAGAGGCUCAGAAGGAACCGAAAAGGGUUUUCAUUUUUUAAAUUUUUUUCCC